rnacentral:rRNA from 1 species
UACAGAGGGGGCAAGCGUUGUUCGGAAUUACUGGGCGUAAAGGGCGCGUAGGCGGCCUUCUAAGUCGAACGUGAAAUCCCCGGGCUCAACCCGGGAACUGCGUCCGAUACUGGAAGGCUUGAAUCCGGGAGAGGGAUGUGGAAUUCCUGGUGUAGCGGUGAAAUGCGCAGAUAUCAGGAAGAACACCCGUGGCGAAGGCGGCUCUCUGGGACGGUACUGACGCUGAGACGCGAAAGCGUGGGGAGCGAACAGG